rnacentral:lncRNA from 1 species
AAAGCACAAAGGACACUGCUGAGAACUGGCUGGAUCACACUGUCAGCCAAGAAAAGGAAGGACGAAUGAGGCUGAAGAGACUGCAGGGCUGCAGAUGAAAUAUCCAGACCUAUGCAUCCUCAUGUGGGAUGAGUGGGUUCCGGCAAAAUUUAAGAGGCUAAUGAUGGGAUGGAGGGGUUGGCAGCAGCACAGCAUAGCAGGAUUUUCUGAUUCACUACCACUGCUGGUGUUACAGCGUGAACGUGACCUGAAGACAAAAAGGCAUGGGUGAAUCCAACUAUGCAAGUUUUCUGGAUCAGUCCUAAACAGCUGGCUGAGCAGUGCUGGAAGGAGUCACACAAAAGCGGUGUAUUACACUACAAAUCCAUGUUCAUUAACUUCAAGUGGGGCCACACCACGGUUCAGCAAUCCUGCCACUUUUCACAGAUCUAAGUACAAAGUGGUUUCAAACUCUCCACCCUGCAACCCUCUGACCCACAGUACUCCUGUUUCAGCAAAUGAUUUUGUUUUCUCCUUCCGAAGGAAAAAGCAGCCUCCAGAUGUAACUCUUUCAUCUUCCUGCUACCAAAAAUAAAAACUUACCAACAUCUGUACAGAAUCAUUGUCACUUCCACAGGAGGGGUUUCGGCGACGCGUGUAAGGGAACUUUGGCGACUUAGUGCGAUCACUGGGAGAAUUGUAGAGUCCACUGGAGAGAAAGAAAAAUGGUCAAAAAGAGCCCAGAGAGUUCCUGGGGGAAAACACACCGCAGCCCAGACCUAUUCAUAACUGCACAGCUGGUACUUCCAGAGGCACAUGCACCAGGGGCACGUGGUUCUCUUUGCUGACAAGAUUUAUUAAAAGAAAAGAGGAAAGAACUAUUCUAAAAUGGACCCUCCCUCCAAAAAAGCCCAAACAGCCAAAGCAAUUCUAAGCAGAAAGAACAAAGCUGGAGGCAUCACACUACCUGACUUCAAACUGUACUACAAGGCUACAGUAACAAAAACUAUCCUACUGAUGCUGUUUGAUUCUAGCAGAGGAGGAGAAGGAAAGAUGGAAGAGAGAGGAAACAGUGAUAAGGAAAUGAAAGAAACAGAAGACUUAUUUUAAAAUGCAAUUUUAGGGACACUGUGGCACAUUUUAUUGAUAAAUUAUAACCCCAAAUAAAUAAUGAAUCACCCAAUAAAU